UGCCCUCCCGGGCCGCGCACGCGCGCUGGGCCCCGCGGACCGCGCGUCCCGGAGCGGCGACGCCAGCCUCUCACCGCGGCCCCACACCCUUAUCCGCCAGCUGCUCUGAAGCAGUGGCCUGGACGCCGCUGCUCUGGGCGCGGGGAAUGGUAAAGCUGGCGGUUUCGUCCCUAGAAAGGAACCCGGAGCUGGGGAGGGCUCCGACUUCAGCGCGAGCCCUGUGACCCGGGGUGGCUGGGCUCCUCGGGCCGCAGUUUCCCUGUGGUGGAGAUCCCAGUAUCCCCGUCGGAAGGCUGCGCGCAGCAGCGGAGGCAGUGGGUGCACGCCCUGUGCACACCGUGCCUGGGCUAUCACUGUGGCGUCGGUGUGCACACGACACAGGCGCAGGUACUGCCUAAAAGUUGUUCAGGCCACUUCUGGAGGCGCGACCAGGACCGGCCCGGAGGGUGCCGUGGCACACAUCUGUAAUCCUAUCACUCAGGAGGCAGAUGCAGGAGGAUCACAAGUUUGAGACCAGACUUCGUCUGCAUAGCAAGUCGAAUGCCUGCCUGCCUGGACCACAUAUUUCCAGAGCCAGGAUUUAAGAGAUUAGCAGUUUCCAGUGCUGGCACCUGAGAUGCUCACUCUUGGAACUCUCCAUCAUGCUCUCCGGAAGCCCAAACGGCCCUUGAAGAGGACCACAUGGAGAGGCCUGUGUCCUCCAUCCCAGCUGAAUGCUCGGCUUCAGUCAUCCCCAGAGUACAGCACUGUCUGCAGCCCCUGCGAAGGAGAAGCUGUCUGGUGCCAUUAGCGUCCCUGAAGAGCAGUGUUUUGCAUGUCUGCUCUACAUCACCGCCGUUCCUCCAAGACCCGACCCAGUGACUGAGGAUGCUGGCCUCACCGUGCCUUCCACCAUGGCCAUGCUGUGUGUGGACAAUCUGGGCUCCUCUUUCUCGGUCUCCCCCGGGGUCACUCGUGUGACUGUGGUACCCAGCUCUGGAGGGUCCGAGGUGGUGUCCUCACGUGUUCCACAGUCAGUGCUGGCUCUCUCUCUCUUCUGUGUCUUUCUUACAAAAGAAAAAGGAAUCAUAUGGUUUAUGGAAGAAAAUUUAGAAAUGCUGUCAAAACAAGGGAAAGAAAAUAGCACUCACCUAUAAUGCCAGCACCUCAGAAUAACCAUUGUUGGUAUUUAGACAUAUAUAUCUAUCCAGCCUUACUCUAAAAUAUUGGUAACAAUGUGUAGUCUACAAAAAUGCAUAUUAUUGAUUACUUCUUUUUUUUUUUUUUUUUUUUUUUGCAGAACCAGGGAUCAAACUCAGGACCUUGUGCUUGCCAGGCAGGCAUGGCACCACUGAGCUACAUCCCUGGCCCUACUUUUUUGUUUUGUGACACAGGGUCUUGCUAUGUAGUUCAGGCUAGCCUUGAACUUGCAGUACUAUGUAGUCUAGGGUGGCCUCGAACUCAUGGUGAUCCCUGCCUCAGCCUCCCAAGAGCUGGGAUUACAGGUGUGUGCCACUAUGCCAGGCAUUGAUUAUUUUCUUGAUAGGCACUGUGCUGUAUCCUCUGCAUAGAUUAUUUCAUUUAAUACUCACUGCACUCCUACAGAACAGAUACUAUUACUAUUACUAUUACUAUUACUAUUACUGUCUUUAGGGAAGGAAAAAUUGAUGCUUAGCGACCUUAUACAUACAUAUAUACUGUCUUGUAACUCCUUUUUUCAUAUAACAUCAUGCAUAAUUCCUCACUUGAUUGCUUUUGAACAGGCUGGAUCAAAAUAAAAAAGUAACAAAGACUUUACAUAAAAAUAAUGUGGGUUUUUUUACAAGGGAGUAAUACUCAGCCACAAAGAAACACAAACUUGAGACAUUUCUAGGUUAAUGGAUGCACCUUGAGACCAUAGUCUUAAGUGAAAUAAAUCAGACACACAUGUAAAUAUCACAUUGUCUCUCUGGUGUGAGAAGCUGAAAGGGUAAAUAAGGACCAAAAUGUAUAGUAGAUAAUGGGAAAUUGUUCAAAAGGAAAGGGAAACUGAAAGUUGGAAGGGGGAAAAGGAAGGGAAAAGAAAAAAAAUGGAAACAAAGCUUUUGUAAAUGAGGAGGGGAGGGGAUUGGGAGAAAAAGAGGAAUCAAGGUAUACCAUAAACAGGUACAAAUUCCCCUUAAUGAAUGUGAUCGUUAUGUAUAUUCAAAUUGUGCCAAUAAAAUCAAUUUUAAAAAACAAUGACUUUACAAUAUUUGGAUCUCUGAUUUCUGGCCAAAUUUGCUUCUUGAGCCUGUCAGGUGAUUGCAGAUUAGAACAAAAUAAUGAUGCAUGCCCUUCACUGCAAAGUACUAGCUUUGACAUUUCAAUCUUUUGUAAGAGCUUCAAGG
rnacentral:lncRNA from 1 species